UCCGGUUUAUCACCGGCAGUCUCGCUAGAGUGCCCAACUGAAUGCUGGCAACUAACAAUAAGGGUUGCGCUCGUUAUGGGACUUAACCCAACAUCUCACGACACGAGCUGACGACAACCAUGCACCACCUGUCAUUCUGCCCCCGAAGGGGAAGCUCUAUCUCUAGAGUGAACAGAAGAUGUCAAGAGCUGGUAAGGUUCUUCGCGUUGCGUCGAAUUAAACCACAUGCUCCACCGCUUGUGCGGGUCCCCGUCAAUUCCUUUGAGUUUCAGCCUUGCGGCCGUACUCCCCAGGCGGAGUGCUUAAUGCGUUAACUCCAGCACUGAAGGGCGGAAACCCUCCAACACUUAGCACUCAUCGUUUACGGCGUGGACUAC
rnacentral:misc_RNA from 1 species